CACUAUCUGAGCUGAUCAUCAUCACUCUCUCUGACAGCAUGAAGCAAAUGAUCCUCCUUAAGCUUUUUCUUCCCGACCACAUGAUUAUCAGAGAAAGGUUCUGAUGCGCGUAGAUGAAAUUGUGCAGAAUUAUCUGCUCACGCUGCUGUGGCUGCAACAGCUAAGGAGAGAACUACUGUACCAACCCUCCAUUCAUCUGAUUCAGAAACCAGAGACAGCUGUUCGCUCUUUCACUGCUAGAAUUUCUAUUAUUGAAUACUGGUUCACCAUUAAAUAUUUUCUAGAGCCAGAACAAAAAUAAUGGUUGGCAUGUGUGUAAAUAUUGCAGUCAGUCUCUGUAGGUUUUUAUGCCAUUUUAGUGUAAUGUAAUAUCUGACCAGCGGCCAUCAUAAAAGUGCAGAAUAAUACCUUUAAGUUCCUUUGCAUAUUCAUGAUUACAUUUGAUUCAGGUAAUGCAUGCAUUAAUCUUCUAUUUCAUCCUGUGAAACUAC